CUGGCGGCAGGCCCAAGACAUGCAAGUCGUACGCGAACGACCUUUCGGGGUUAAGUAGAGUGGCGAACGAGUUAGUAACGCGUGGGAACAUACACAGCACAGGGGGAUAACCAUUGGAAACGAUGGCUAAUACCGCAUACGCCCUAUUGGGGAAAGAUUUAUCGGUGUUGGAUUGGCCCGCGUUAGAUUAGCUAGUUGGUGGGGUAAUGGCUCACCAAGGCGACGAUUUAUAGCUGGUUUGAGAGGAUGAUCAGCAACACUGGAACUGAGACACGGUCCAGACUCCUACGGGAGGCAGCAGUCGGGAAUAUUGUGCAAUGGGGGCAACCCUGACACAGCCAUGCCGCGUGAGUGAAGAAGGCCUUAGGGUUGUAAAGCUCUUUCAGAUGUGAGGAUGAUGACGAUAGCAUCAGAAGAAGCUCCGGCUAACUUCGUGCCAGCAGCCGCGGUAAUACGAAGGGAGCUAGCGUUGUUCGGAAUUACUGGGCGUAAAGGGCGUGUAGGCGGAUAAUCAAGUUAGGGGUGAAAUCCCGGGGCUCAACC
rnacentral:rRNA from 1 species